rnacentral:rRNA from 1 species
UACGUAGGGUGCGAGCGUUGUCCGGAAUUAUUGGGCGUAAAGAGCGUGUAGGCGGCCAGACAGGUCCGUUGUGAAAACUCGAGGCUCAACCUCGAGACGCCGAUGGAAACCGUCUGGCUAGAGUCCGGAAGAGGAGAAUGGAAUUCCCGGUGUAGCGGUGAAAUGUGCAGAUAUCGGGAAGAACACCCGUGGCGAAGGCGGUUCUCUGGGACGGUACUGACGCUGAGACGCGAAAGCGUGGGGAGCGAACAGG